CACUUCCCUCCCCCGCAGAGGGACCUGAACUGGCUCUGUGCUGGCGGAUGCCGACAUGGUGCCCCUGCUGCGGCUGCUCCCCCUGCUACCGCUGCUGCCCCUGCUGUGGGGGGGGUCCCUGCAGGAGCUUCCAGGGUACGAGCUCCGAGUGCAGGAAUCAGUGGUGGUGCAGGCGUGCAUGGACGUCCACGUGCCCUGCUCCUUCUCCUAUCCCUGGAGUUCGGGAAAUUCCUGGCAUUCCUCUGAGGAACCCUUCAUCUACUGGUUCCGGGAAGGAGACCCCCAUUACAGUGAUGCUGUGGCCACAAACGACCGAAAGAAACGACUGAAGUCAGAGACCCAGGGCCGAUUCCACCUCGUCGGGGACCCCAGGGACGACGACUGCUCCCUGAGCAUCCAAGAGGCCAGGCUGAGCGACUCAGGAGUCUACUACUUGCGAGUGGAGAGAGGACGUAAUGUGAAGUACAGUUACAGAGAGAAGAAGCUGAACUUGAAGGUGACAGAGAAACCCGACAUCCAGUUCCUGGAGCCUCUGGAGUCCGGCCGCCGCACAUCUCUGACCUGCAGCCUGUCGCUAGCUUGUGGUCAGUCACACUAUCUCCUGUUCUCCUGGGCGGGGGACACCCUUGAUGCCAUGAAUCCAGACACCCUCCACUCUUCGGAGCUCACCCUCACCCCGAGGCCCCAGGACCACGGCACCAACCUCACCUGUCGGGUGACACUCCAGGGAGCGCAGGUGACCCUGGAGAGAACCAUCCAACUCAACGUCUCCUAUGCCCCGAGGAACCUCCGCAUCAGCCUCUCCUUCAGAAACAGCACAGCCCUCAAGAUUCUGCAGAACGCCUCAUCUGUUCUCAUCUCAGAGGGCCAGGCACUACAGCUGCUGUGUGUUGCUGACAGCAACCCCCCUACACAGCUGAGCUGGUUCUGGGGAUCCCCAGCCCUGGAGUCUACCCCCAUCUCCAGCACCGGGAUCUUGGAAAUACCACAAGCAGCGGCUGGAGAUGGAGAAGUCACCUGCCAAGCGCAGAACCCUCUGGGCUCCCAGCAAGUUUUCUUCAGCCUCUCUGUGCAGAAAGGCCCCCAUCCCUGCAGCUCUGAGACUGAGGAGCAGCAGGGCUCCUGGCCUCUGGUCCUCACCCUGAUCAGAGGGGCCCUCAUGGGGGCUGGCUUCCUCCUCACCUAUGGCUUCACCUGGACCUACUACACCAGGUGUGGUGGCCAGUAGGGAGCUGGGCUGAGGGGUGUGGCCGAGCCUGCUCUCUGCCAUGAGGAGAUUCACCUGAGGAGGCAGAGCCCAGAGGACAGAUGUGGGGACAUCACUGCGAGCUUCUCCCGGGAAACUCUCGCCUCCAACCCUGUGUCGUUUGCAUCCACGAGCCUUCAUUUCUAGAGAUGACUGCGAGACAGUAGGAAGAGUCACUCCCACUGAAAGGAGACUUUCUGACUUAACUCGCUUAGUAUGAGAUUACUCAUGUUUUCACAUGUAUCAAUAAUUCAUUGUUGGUUGUGCUUGGUUUUUGUCUUGAAAAUAGUAUUUUACAUAUGACUAUUCCUCCAGUUAUGUAUGGACUCUAAAAUAAGAUGACAUUGCCUUUGCUUGCAAGUUUUGUCUCUUUCACAGUAACGUUGAUGUGAAUGGCGUGAUGAAUUAGGAGGCCUAGCACUUUUCUCGUGGUCGGUGUGGAACUGCUUCAUCAUACACUUGGCAUAUGUUUAGUUCGAGAAGUAGCCUCAGAGAGUUCUUUUGAGUAGUUAGAUGAGUUUAUAGCCCAUGGUCAUAUAUGAGGGUCU
rnacentral:lncRNA from 1 species